UACAGAGGUCCCGAGCGUUGUUCGGAUUCAUUGGGCGUAAAGGGUGCGUAGGCGGUCUGCUAAGUUUGGUGUGAAAUCCCGGGGCUCAACCCUGGAAUGGCAUUGAAUACUGGCGGACUAGAGUACCGGAGAGGAAACUGGAAUUUACGGUGUAGCAGUGAAAUGCGUAGAGAUCGUAAGGAAGACCAGUGGCGAAGGCGGGUCUCUGGACAGUUCCUGACGCUGAGGCACGAAGGCCAGGGGAGCAAACGGG
rnacentral:rRNA from 1 species